rnacentral:rRNA from 1 species
AGGACGAACGCUGGCGGCGCGCUUAACACAUGCAAGUCGAGCGAGAACCAGGCCUUCGGGCCUGGGGAAAGCGGCGAACGGGUGAGUAACACGUGGGUAACCCACCCUUGGUACCGGGAUAGCCCGAGGAAACUCGGAUUAAUACCGGAUGGCCCAACAGCUCUUCGGGGCGGUUGGAAAAGGUAGCUUCGGCCUCCGACCAAGGACGGGCCCGCGGCGGAUUAGCUUGUUGGUGAGGUAACGGCUCACCAAGGCGACGAUCGGUAGCUGGUCUGAGAGGAUGACCAGCCACAUUGGGACUGAGACACGGCCCAAACUCCUACGGGAGGCAGCAGUGGGGAAUAUUGGACAAUGGGCGCAAGCCUGAUCCAGCCAUGCCGCGUGAGUGAUGAAGGCCUUAGGGUUGUAAAGUCCUUUCGGCGGGGAAGAUGAUGACGGUACCCGCAGAAGAAGCCCCGGCUAACUUCGUGCCAGCAGCCGC